rnacentral:rRNA from 1 species
UGGCGGACGGGUGAGUAAUGUCUGGGAAACUGCCUGAUGGAGGGGGAUAACUACUGGAAACGGUAGCUAAUACCGCAUAAUGUCGCAAGACCAAAGAGGGGGACCUUCGGGCCUCUUGCCAUCGGAUGUGCCCAGAUGGGAUUAGCUUGUUGGUGGGGUAACGGCUCACCAAGGCGACGAUCCCUAGCUGGUCUGAGAAGAUGACCAGCCACACUGGAACUGAGACACGGUCCAGACUCCUACGGGAGGCAGCAUG